UACGUAGGGUGCGAGCGUUGUCCGGAAUUACUGGGCGUAAAGAGCUCGUAGGUGGUUUGUCGCGUCGUCUGUGGAAUUCCGGGGCUUAACUUCGGGCGUGCAGGCGAUACGGGCAAUACUUGAGUGCUGUAGGGGAGACUGGAAUUCCUGGUGUAGCGGUGGAAUGCGCAGAUAUCAGGAGGAACACCGGUGGCGAAGGCAGGUCUCUGGGCAGUAACUGACGCUGAGGAGCGAAAGCAUGGGUAGCGAACAGGAUUAGAUA
rnacentral:rRNA from 1 species